UACGUAGGGUGCGAGCGUUAAUCGGAAUUACUGGGCGUAAAGUGUGCGCAGGUGGCUGAGCAAGUCGAGUGUGAAAUCCCCGGGCUUAACUUGGGAAUUGCGCUCGAAACUACUUGGCUCGAGUGUGGCAGAGGAAGGUGGAAUUCCAGGUGUAGCGGUGAAAUGCGUAGAGAUCUGGAGGAACACCGAUGGCGAAGGCAGCCUUCUGGGCCAACACUGACGCUCAUGCACGAAAGCGUGGGGAGCAAACGGG
rnacentral:rRNA from 1 species